CCGCCACGGCCAUUUGAAUAACCUCUGCGGCCCCCACCACGACUGCCUCUGUGGUUUUGGUAGUUCCUUCGAGCAACAUAUUGUUGCUCUUUGAGGUCAACCUCUUUUUGAUCAUGAUCCACUUCUGAUGGUCUAGCUUGUUCCUGUUCAUCAGAGACAACUUCUGCCAGAAUUUCAGUCUCUAGUUCAUCCUUUUGAAGUUCCUCAGCAGGGCUGGACACAUUAUCACCAGUUUCAUGCCCUAGUAAAUUUUCUGUAUCUUCAUCCUUGGCCUCGUCCUGCUCAACAGAGCCUUGCACU
rnacentral:misc_RNA from 1 species